rnacentral:rRNA from 1 species
AUGAACGCUAGCUACAGGCUUAACACAUGCAAGUCGAGGGGCAUCAGGAAGAAAGCUUGCUUUCUUUGCUGGCGACCGGCGCACGGGUGAGUAACACGUAUCCAACCUGCCCUUUACUCGGGGAUAGCCUUUCGAAAGAAAGAUUAAUACCCGAUAGUAUAAUCAUUCCGCAUGGUCUGAUUAUUAAAGGAUUCCGGUAAAGGAUGGGGAUGCGUUCCAUUAGGUUGUUGGUGAGGUAACGGCUCACCAAGCCUUCGAUGGAUAGGGGUUCUGAGAGGAAGGUCCCCCACAUUGGAACUGAGACACGGUCCAAACUCCUACGGGAGGCAGCAGUGAGGAAUAUUGGUCAAUGGGCGCGAGCCUGAACCAGCCAAGUAGCGUGAAGGAUGACUGCCCUAUGGGUUGUAAACUUCUUUUAUAUUAGAAUAAAGUGCAGUAUGUAUACUGUUUUGUAUGUAUAAUAUGAAUAAGGAUCGGCUAACUCCGUGCCAGCAGCCGCGGUAAUACGGAGGAUCCGAGCGUUAUCCGGAUUUACUGGGUGUAAAGGGAGCGUAGGUGGCAAGGCAAGCCAGAAGUGAAAACCCGGGGCUCAACCGCGGGAUUGCUUUUGGAACUGUCAUGCUAGAGUGCAGGAGGGGUGGGCGGAAUUCCUAGUGUAGCGGUGAAAUGCGUAGAUAUUAGGAGGAACACCGGAGGCGAAGGCGGCUCACUGGACUGUAACUGACACUGAGGCUCGAAAGCGUGGGGAGCAAACAGGAUUAGAUACCCUGGUAGUCCACGCGGUAAACGAUGAAUACUAGAUGUCGGGUAGCAAAGCUAUUCGGUGUCGUCGCAAACGCAAUAGGUAUUCCACCUGGGGAGUACGUUCGCAAGAAUGAAACUCAAAGGAAUUGACGGGGACCCGCACAAGCGGUGGAGCAUGUGGUUUAAUUCGAAGCAACGCGAAGAACCUUACCUGCUCUUGACAUCCCAUUCGAUAGAGGGUAAUGCCUCUAGCCCUUCGGGGGAAUGGAGACAGGUGGUGCAUGGUUGUCGUCAGCUCGUGUCGUGAGAUGUUGGGUUAAGUCCCGCAACGAGCGCAACCCUUAUUGUCAGUAGCCAGCAGUUAGGCUGGGCACUCUGAUGAGACUGCCGGGGAUAACCCGGAGGAAGGUGGGGAUGACGUCAAAUCAUCAUGCCCCUUAUGAGCAGGGCUACACACGUGCUACAAUGGCGUAAACAGAGGGAAGCGAAGGAGUGAUCCGGAGCAAAUCUCAAAAAUAACGUCUCAGUUCGGAUUGUAGUCUGCAACUCGACUACAUGAAGCUGGAAUCGCUAGUAAUCGCAGAUCAGAAUGCUGCGGUGAAUACGUUCCCGGGUCUUGUACACACCGCCCGUCACACCAUGGGAGUCGGUAAUGCCCGAAGUCAGUGACUCAACCUUAAAGGAGAGAGCUGCCGAAGGCAGGACUGGUAACUGGGG